CGUUUAGCAUCAAUUCAAGAAAUUGAAGAAAAUUGUCCAGCAUCACAUCCUAUAAUUGUUGUAAAAGGAACUUGGUUUGAUUCAGAAGAUUUUUAUAUUUUGGUGGAAAAGAAAGUGUGCUAUACCUUCACUGAAGAUUUACCAGCUAUUGGGGCAUUGUUUGCUGUUCAUUAUGUAAUGAAUAUGCAAUAUCAUCCAAGUGUUUUUGCUUCAUUAGAGUUUAUUCAAAGAUACAUGGUCGACUACAAUCCUGAUAAAGGGAAAAGAAAUGCUAAAGGAAAGAAAAAAGGAGCACUCAUUUGCCCACGCAUUGUCACAUUAAUUCGAGAAUUAAAUAGUUUUGGUUUGAACUCCGUUUGAAUAAAAGUUUUUUAAA